GAUCUCCUGGCGCAGUGGUAGCGCACCAAGGGUUUACUGGAGCAGACCGGCUGGCGUGUACCGCGGCAUGCCAGUUCGCUCCAAAUUUGGAGGUCCCGUGUUCAAUUCACGGGGAGAUCA